AGGAGUAUGGACUCUGGAGUCAUAGGGCUGGAAUGCAAAUCUCAGCUCUAUCGUUUACCAGCUGUGCAACUUGGGCAAGUUACUCUCUAUUACUCUGUUUCCACAUCGGUAAGUGGAAGUCAUUGUUAUGACUUACUAUCUCUUAGGGCUGCUGGGAGAACUAAUGAGUUAGGCAGUGGCACUGGAAGCAGUGCCUAGCGCACAUGCCCAUGUAAGUGUUUGCUAUUCUUAUUACUUUUGUUCCUCCCCCACUUCCACCGUGACUUCCUGUGGAGAAGAGGCCUGUUCUAGUCAUCUCCUGGUUUCCAGUAGCUACAUCAGGUUUGGCACAGGGCAGUCCCUCGGUUUACUCUGAUGGAUACCCUGACUGGUCAAUGGGCAGACAGGCCACCACCCCCUCCCCUCUGCUUUCUUCCUGAGAGGGUUCCUAACUUCUCUGAAGUCAAGUUGAGCGUCCACAUCUAAAGCCCCAGCCCAGUUGAACUUCCAGCCCACAGCUAGCACCAACUUGCCAGCCAUGUGAGUGAAUCAUCGUGGAAAUGAUAUCUGCCAGCCCUGGCCAAAAUGCCCCAGCUGAUGCCACAUAAAGCAAAAAUUAGCAGUUGCCACCAAGCCCUGCCUAAAUUGCAAAAUCGUUGAGAUGUUUCCCAAAAUGCCUCACAAAUAUUCUGGGAUGUCACCUUUUGCAAUGGAUCUGCAGGUUCCAUCGUGCCCUAGCUUUUUGCCUGAGGGGAGGCUCUGGCCAUGGGUCCCUUUUCAGGUCAGCAAGAGUGCCGUGCAGAGCAGGAGCCCCAUCCAAUGCUCUACAGGUAUACCAUCCAAUACUGUCCAAUAUUGUAGCCAUAUGUGACUAAUGAGCACUUGAAGUGUAGCUAGACUGAGAUGUGCUGGAAGCACACAAAACACAACUCAUUGUACAGGCUUAUACAGUACUAGUCUUCGAGAGAAUGUAAAAUAUCUCACUAAUAAUUUUAUAUUAAUUAUGUGUUGAAUUGAUAAAAUUUGGAUGUACUGGAUUAAAUAAAAUACCUUAUCAAAG
rnacentral:lncRNA from 1 species